UACGUAGGGGGCUAGCGUUGUCCGGAAUCAUUGGGCGUAAAGCGCGUGUAGGCGGUCCGGUAAGUCCGCUGUGAAAGUCGGGGGCUCAACCCUCGAAUGCCGGUGGAUACUGUCGGGCUAGAGUACGGAAGAGGCGAGUGGAAUUCCUGGUGUAGCGGUGAAAUGCGCAGAUAUCAGGAGGAACACCAAUUGCGAAGGCAGCUCGCUGGGACGUUACUGACGCUGAUGCGCGAAAGCCAGGGGAGCGAACGGG
rnacentral:rRNA from 1 species